rnacentral:rRNA from 1 species
CUGCGGAAGGGUCAUUAU